CCAGAGUCAAAUCCAGGAUCCUACCCUGCACUUGGUCUCUUUAGUCUCCUCCAUUCUGACAGUUCCUCAGUCUUGUCUUUCGUGACCUGUAUGCUUUGGAACAACACUGAUGUCCUACAGUUUUGGAGAAAGGAAGGAAAGGGAGAGAAGAAACGAUUUAUUGGCCACGUAACCAGUACCACGUGGAUGUCUUAAAUAUAUGAUCUCACAACCAUCUGUAGGUGAAUAUUUUUGGAGAGCCUUCUUUACUUCAGGAACAGUUUAGUGGGAAAACAGCAUUGUCUGCUUCUAGGCCUGCUCUUCCUCCUGUGAAAGAUUUCCUUUCUUGCAUUUUCACUGCGGGGGCCAUCAUUCUUUUUCACCCAGAAACAGCAAGUCCUCCAACGGGUCUUCUCCCUACUUCAAGUUGUCUGCUUCUCUAAUAGCUCUUCCUCAAGGAUACCAUCACCCCGUGUUGCCCUUGUGAUGGCAGGAUGACUGAUUUGAAAAACAGGAAGAGUAUUGCUGUGUGACCAAUAUAUCACAACAAAACAGACCUCAUCAGGGCUCAUCAGCCUUUGUGGAAUGUAGGACCACCACUAGAGGGCAUCUAGGAUUCUUUCAAGACUCGACUCAAAAGCAGCAAGGGUUACUGUUAGUGCACGUUUCCUUCAAGAGGCACGAAUGCUAAGUAGAGUUCUUAACCAAAGAAACUACUUUUUUCAUUUAGUAUAAAAUUGAAUGAAAAAAUAUGUAGAUUUCUUGUCGAGAUGCAAAAGGCUGUCUAGUGGGAAAAAUGUAAUAGGAAUAAAGGCAGUUUGUGAACCUCAUUAAUUAAUGCACGAUUGCUGGAUGUGGAACUAAUAUUUUAAACCUGUUACUGUAUUUUAUGAUUAAAGUGGAAAACAGCUUUGUUCAA